AAGAUAUUGCAAGGUAGAUGCGUAUAAAACCUGAGACAAAUAUUUGUCCAGUUAACUUUUGCCCUUCUGAUUGUUAACAUUCAAACACAAAAUUUCUUCACGUUACUCGAAUUCAUCCUGAAAAAAUAAGCACGAAUCUGUUUUACAUCUGGAACGAAGGGCUUCCGUGAAUUGGUGAAAUGUUUCUGCUCGGACUUUGUAAUUUGAUUCUGGGAUCAAUAAUUAUUAUAUCGGGAUUCAUUCAUGUUAGAAUAUAAUGGUUAUCAAGCUAAGCCGACAAAGACAAUACGGAUAUUGUGGAAUUAGAACUGAAAUAUUGGCCAUGUUUAUGCGUCCAUUUCUUAUUUACAAUCUGCUGCCUUAUUUCGGGACUAUGUGCCAUUCUUGCAUCCAAGACGGACAACCGCACGUGGGCGAUGGGAUUGGCAAAUGUGGUGGAUUUGUUUUCCAAAGCGCCAAUGGGGUUAAUUGGGGGGAUCCUAAUGUACAAUUUUUAUCCGAAGGAGUCGAAAGUGAGGGGAUGGCCCCAGUGGAAAUGGGAGUCGAUUAAAUUGCCAAUUCCGACAGGGGUUUAUUGUUUCUUUGGUCAAAUAUAUUUUUAUAGGGGGUGUAAUAAAUUAAUUGUUGAGGUACAAAAUGAGGUACAAAAUGAGGUACAAGGUGAGGUAAAUGCAAUAAGAGGGGCAAUAAGGGGUGCAAGAAGAGGUAGAAGAUGAGGUGCAAGAACAGGUAAUACCAGGUGGAAGUGAAGCAUGUCAAAAAACCGGAAUCCAAAAGAUCAAAAACGAAAGAGACAUUGAUUUCUGGACAAUUUUUUUACGCAUUUAUUUGUGAUCGAGCAAGUAAAUUUUUUAUCGUUUAUGAAAGUGAGAAGCUUAAAUUGUAAUCCCACUGGGAAAAUUUUUUAUAACGAUGGCUCAAAAAUCUGUAUUCGCGUAUUAAUUGAGCAAAUAUUUAAGCAAGUAAUGUAAUUUUUAAUCAUUAAUUAUGUAUUUCUCGCUGGUGUAAAGUAGAGUAAAACAUUUUUAUAUGCUUUUUCUCAGUUAUACGAAAAUGUCGAUUUAUCUAUUUAUUGAAAACAAUCAUUUUGUCCAAUCCAUGAAAAAUUGACAAAAUUUAAAAGCAAAAUUCAAGUAUUACAUUGGUGCAUAUGUAGCAAAAAAUAUAAAGAAAUCCGCAACACGUGAUCAUGACAAGAUAGACAUGUUAUAAUUUAACUUUUAUUUAAUUUCUGUCAAAGAAAAAUUUGGGUAAUAUUUAUCCUUACUCUUAGUCCAGAUUCCUGGAGCACUUUGUGACCACGUUCCAUAACGUAGAAAAAGUCUUGGCAAAUACCGAGAUCCUUGUGUGGUAUUUUCGACCGGUUAGCAGUCGAUUGUCUAGUUUUUUUUAACCCAAACCAGGGUUCGUCUCUGUGGUCACCAAUUUUUCAUACAAUGAUAGUUUUAAUAAACCUUCGCAUAUCUCGCAAAUUGAGCAUAGAAGCUUGCGAAGUUUUGCAAGAUGUCUGCAUGUUUUGCAAGAUGACCCACGACAAAUUGAUCCGCUCAUAUUGACCCAAGUUAUAUUGACCCAAUGCUAUAUAUGUACAUACUUACUUACUCCAUUUUUCGUACAAAAAGACUUAUUUCAGUAUGUACUUCAAUUCUCGAUCAUUCAAACUGUAAAAUACACUACUUGCACAAAGCUCAGUUCGUUAUCAUGUCUUUCAUGACCAGGUUUCCGAUAUGAACAUGUCUAGCUUAUCUACGUAUCAAGCUGUAUCAGUGAGAAAGGUUCCUUUUCUUACCUUUCGUCUUUCAUGUACAUAUGCACAGCCCAACAAGAGUUAAGAGUAGCAAAAGGUAUUUACAUACAUAUUUAGAUGCGUAAAAACCUGAGAUUCAUUUUUGUCCCGGCCAGUUAACUUUUGCCCUUCUGAUUGUUAACAUCCAAAUACAGAUUUCUUCACGUUACUCGAAUUCCUGAAAAAAUAAGCAGAAAUCCGUUUCAAAUCUUUAAGGAAAAUGGAGCCAAACGGUGAACAGGAGCCAAACGGUGAACAGGAGCCAAUCGGUGAACCGCAGCCAUUCCCAUACCGUGAACUGAACCCAGUCAUUGAACUGUUUAUACUCGGAUGUUUUAAUGCUUCUCUGGGACCAGCAACUAUUGUAUGGGGAAUGCAGCCAGAACUUAAAGCUCGAUACCUCGAUAAGCCAGAAUACAACAAAGACAUUCAGGAGAUCAUACUGGAAUAUUUGCCCCAUGUACUUGCCUAUGGCUGCAUGAUGCUCUGCUGCUUAAUUUCGGGAUUCUGUGGAAUUAUUAUAUGCAUGCUGGACAACCGCACGUGGGUGCUCAGACUGGCAAACGUGGCGAAUUUGUAUGCCAAAAUGUCAUACCGGUUAGUUGUGGGGAUCAUAGUGUACAAUUGGAGUCCGAAGAAGUGGAAGACGUGGGGGGGAUAUCCGGUGUCACAGGAAUCGAUUAAGAUAUCCUUCUGGACAUUCAUGUAUUGUUUAGUAGUGCAACUUUAUUUUGUGAAGAGAUGUACCAGGCUAAUUCACGACCUAAGUAACCAAAAUUAGGUAAAUUUGAAACAAGGAAAUAGGUCAAAAAAGAAGGAGGAAUUGAUUUCUUGAGAAAUUUAUGUAUGUAUUUAUUUCUGCUCGGGCAAGUAAAUUUUUUCGUUUGAUUGGUAUGGUUUAUAAAAGUGAGUAGAUUUUGGAUUUAAUUAUUUAAAUCCUUCGUGUGAUAUACGUAUAAAUAUAUUUAAGUUUAUUUAAAGGCGAUCAAUAUUCCGCAAGGUUUAUCGAAAUUAAUGACAAAUGUACUGCGUAAAUAUUUUGUAAUGAUGGUUUAAAAAUCUGUCUUUGUGUAUUAAUUGAGCUGUGAUUUAAGUAAUUUUUAAGCAUCUUUUAUGUCUCGAUGGUGUAAAGUCGAGUAAAACUGUGCAAAUAUAUGUAUGUAUAUUUGCCUUUGGCUAAUUAUACCAGAAUAAUUUCAAGAUGGGAAGAAAACAGGUCAAAAAAGAAGGAGGAAUUGGUUCCUUGAGAAAUUUAUGUAUGUAUUUGUGAUCGAGCAAGUAUUUAAGAUGCUAUCGUGAGUACGCUCAAUAUAAAGAAUAAAAGAUAUAUUACAGAUA